CAGUCGCCGCGGUAAAACGGAGGGUGCAAGCGUUAAUCGGAAUUACUGGGCGUAAAGCGUGCGUAGGCGGUUCGUUAAGUCUGUUGUGAAAGCCCCGGGCUCAACCUGGGAAUGGCAAUGGAUACUGGCGAGCUAGAGUGUGUCAGAGGAUGGUGGAAUUCCCGGUGUAGCGGUGAAAUGCGUAGAGAUCGGGAGGAACAUCAGUGGCGAAGGCGGCCAUCUGGGACAACACUGACGCUGAGGCACGAAAGCGUGGGGAGCAAACAGGAUUAGAUACCCCAGUAGUCCCUGUCUCUUAUAC
rnacentral:rRNA from 1 species